AUCAUUAAUGUCAAUAUUGAGAUAUAGCAAAAUUUGUAUACGAAAUAACAAAUCAAUUUGUCAUUACAAAUACAAAACGAGCAACAAUAUAUUACAAUCAAUACUAUCAACAGUACAAAGCACAAAGAUACUCAAAUCAAAUCCUAAUUAGGCUUUAAUAUGUACAACCAAAAUUGUUAGGGAUAACAAAUGCUAAGAUAGACCCUGUGCCGAUAUACAAUGAGUAUCAUGUUUGCAUUAAUUGGUGAAGUCCAUAAUCGAAGUAGCUUGUAAGAGCUUCAUUGCCAGGUUUACUACAAUCCACCAUCAACCUACAGAGUCCAAUGGAAAAAAAAUUAUUAAACAGAAAUUUACAUUGGUAGUUAGAUAAAUUAAACCUGCAUUAGCCUACAUAUAUCAACUAAGACAUUGAUCCUCAUAUUGUUGCAUGAAAAGAAAUGAAAAUGAGAGACUUUAAAAGAAAUGCAAAGGAACACUUUUAUUAACCACAAGUACAAAAUGUGAACUGAAUUUCAAACUACAAGUUGGUAGCAUGUCUUAAGAUGAAUAAAGCAUUAUGACCCCAAUUGACAUGAAACCAAUUGUAAAGUAAUGCCAAGGUUGUUUCCUUUAACACAAAAAUAGUAAAUGCAUUCACCCAUUGCAGCUCAUUCAAAAUUGAGAAGUAGCUAAGCAAGCGUAACAUUCGAACUUGGAAAGCAUGAAAUGAACUUGGAAAAAGGAAUUAGAUUUUACUGCCAACAAGGCUUCCAAGGUGCAAAUAGCCAAUGAGAUCCUUUUUUUCUAAUCCUUAUUAUUUUUGUCCAGUAUGUUCACUUAAAAGAAAACUAUAUUCUAUUUACUAGAUCUUUAGUUAAGAAAUAAACAAAAAAUUAAAUCAUCAAAAAGCAAAAAGAUCAAAGGCAUUAAAACUUGCACAAACAUUCAGGAGGAGGAGAAGUUAUCACCUAAGAGAAUCACAUGCAACGCAAUGAAAGUAUUAGAAUUAGCCCAAAGGAAGGGAAAAAAUAUGCUUCACGAAUGGUCCUACAACACCAACACACAAAACAAUAAAUUAUGAUGAACCACCACAAACCAGUCCAAAGACAAGUAAAAUCACCUAUACCAUCAAUCCUAAUCACCAACCGGAGUAGAAAAUCAUCCAAAAUUUAAGUUAAGUCACCGAAUAAAUAAGGCUUAAAUCUUAGAACAUGUCAUAAUCAGUGUUUAGCAUUCAAAAAUUGUGUAAGAUACAGGGGGUUUGGAACAACAAAAGGGGACAACUAGGGCUGGGCAACGAGAGGUACAGAGGAAUCGGAGCGAGAGUGGUAAAGAGAGGAGAUUGAACAAUACGACAAAGCAGGGGAAAAAUCAAAUCGUGGAAGGAAGAAUUGGGGAAAAAUCAAAUCGUGAAAGGAAGAAUUCUAGCAUGAAAAUAUGUUGGAGACUACCUGAAAUCUUAGAUCUUAAAUUUUGACGGGCCGUUUUCAUUUUGCCUUCCAGUAAGACCCUUUUCUCUACUCCAACUGAGAUGCCUAUUCACUCUAAUCCACUAAAGUAGAAGCCUACAAUUUCAAAAAGUUUAUCUUGCGAUUGUUAAAUUGACCAAAAAUGCAAGAAAAAGCAAUUGACAAAACAGAGAUGAAAAUAACAUAUUAAAAAACCUACACCAUCGCUUUUCCUUGAAGUCUGUCAUUGCAUCGGAAGGGUUUUUAAAGUGUGUCCAUGAUUGUAUAAAUUCAGAUCUGGAUGCUAGAGAGGAAGAGGGGAACCAUAUGUCUACGGGAAACUGAAAAUUGAUAGAGAGGGAAAAAGAGAUAGAAGGAGAAAGGUGCAGGGGAGGUUGCGAUUGAACUUUC
rnacentral:lncRNA from 1 species